GAUGAACGCUGGCGGCGUGCCUAAUACAUGCAAGUCGAGCGAACAGAUGAGGAGCUUGCUCCUCUGACGUUAGCGGCGGACGGGUGAGUAACACGUGGAUAACCUACCUAUAAGACUGGGAUAACUUCGGGAAACCGGAGCUAAUACCGGAUAAUAUAUUGAACCGCAUGGUUCAUUAGUGAAAGACGGUUUUGCUGUCACUUAUAGAUGGUUCCGCGCCGCAUUAGCUAGUUGGUAAGGUAACGGCUUACCAAGGCAACGAUGCGUAGCCGACCUGAGAGGGUGAUCGGCCACACUGGAACUGAGACACGGUCCAGACUCCUACGGGAGGCAGCAGUAGGGAAUCUUCCGCAAUGGGCGAAAGCCUGACGGAGCAACGCCGCGUGAGUGAUGAAGGUCUUCGGAUCGUAAAACUCUGUUAUUAGGGAAGAACAAAUGUGUAAGUAACUAUGCAAGUCUUGACGGUACCUAAUCAGAAAGCCACGGCUAACUACGUG
rnacentral:rRNA from 1 species